rnacentral:lncRNA from 13 species
CAGUUCCUAAGGACCCUCCCCUCCCUCAGACGAAGAGAGGUCAGCAAUACACCUAAUCCGAAAGGAGGUGGCGUAGAAGAAAAUAAAACUCCUGACCACGAAGGUCGAAUGGUGCUUACUCUACCUUUCAAACAAGCAAAGGGAAGUUCCUGUCAUUGAGUGACUGCUAGUUGUGUCAGUUACGAUCAGGCGCCCGGCUGCAUUCCUAACUCCUGGAAGAAAGACGAAGACACCUACCGAGACUUGACUCAUAUUGCCAAGUGGCUCAGCUGUGGGAUUCCCUGCCAGCCCUCUGCAAGCAGCAGUGUAGUUUUACUCAUGCCAGCAUUGAGUAGGAGCAUUUCAGAGUAGCUUCCAUUGGAUUCCAGAAAUUAUAUGACAUCAGCGUUUCACUUUCA